AACGAACGCUGGCGGCAUGCCUAACACAUGCAAGUCGAACGCAUGUAGCAAUACAUGAGUGGCGAACGGGUGAGUAACGCGUGGGAACCUGCCUAGUGGUAGGGAAUAACCGCGGGAAACUGGCGGCUAAUACCCUAUGAGCCCUCCGGGGGAAAGAUUUAUCGCCGAUUAGAGGGGCCCGCGUCGGAUUAGCUAGUUGGUGGGGUAACGCCCACCAAGGCGACGAUCCGUAGCUGGUCGAGAGGAUGAUCAGCCACACUGGGACUGAGAUACGGGCCCAGACUCCUACGGGAGGCAGCAGUGGGGAUAUUGGACAAUGGGGCAACCCUGAUCCAGCAAUGCCGCGUGCGGGAAGAAGGCC
rnacentral:rRNA from 1 species